rnacentral:rRNA from 1 species
UCUAAUACCGGAUACUGAGCCGCACGGGCAUCCAGGCGGUCGAAAGCUCCGGCGGUGCAGGAUGAGCCCGCGGCCUAUCAGCUUGUUGGUGAGGUAACGGCUCACCAAGGCGACGACGGG